GUGUCGUCUCUCUCUCUCUCUCUCUCUCUCUCUCUCUCUCUCUCUCUCUCUCUCUCUCUCUCUCUCGGUUUUGUUACAAUGGAGGAGACAGAAGUCACAGAACUCCCUUGACCUAGACGUGUACUAAGCUUAACGUAAUUAAUUACUCACCACUUUCAACUAACACCCAAGUACUUGUACUAGUUUGUAUCUUGCUUCUGAUCGAGGACACAUAGCAUUUCUUUCCGUACUUUUUCUUUUGGGAUCGUAGUUAGUGAUUCGCAUGCAGGAGUUAUGAGAAGCUCGAUGCAUGCAAUCGUCAAUUAUCAAAUAAUCAACGGGCAAGCAUUAAUUUAUAGCAUUUAUGUAUAAGCAAGCAAUGAUAAAGGAAUUAUUGACCUAAAAUCCAAUUCUAGUAUUCUACCACAUGCGCAAUGCAUGCAAGCAUGCAACCAUUCAAGCUUGAAAAUAAAAAAUGAAAUAACAGUAACAUCCUACUCGAGGUCUUAGUCAGUUCCAAUCAGUUCUAUUGUCUGUUCCUAUCGGUUCCUAGUCGGUAUCAUCGGUUUCUGGUCGGUUCUGAUUGGUUGGUUGCUGGUAAUAUCGGUUCUUGGCCCGAUUACAUACCUUUCUUCAUGGAGGCACGUCGCUUCUUGGUCGGUACCCUGGAUUCUGCCUUUACUAUUCCCUCUUGUUAGAUCGACUUGUGCCCCUGCAUUCUUUGGUUCACAUCAGUUUCUGAUCGGUUCAUCAUCGGUCUUUAUCGGUUUCUAGUUGGUUCUAUAUCGGUUUUCAUCCAGCAAUUUCUUCAAAGCUUCGGUAGCUAGCGCUGCUUAUAUCUCCUUCAAGAAUUCAAACUCAAGUGUUCACAAUCCAGCAAGCAGCAAGAAAGCUUCGGCCACAGACGAUACCAGAGCUUGCUGACAUCCAUUUCCUAGUACCUGUAUCUCUCUCAGUUGUGUUUAAACUUGGCAGUGAAGUCUCUGAAAUCCUUGUUUAAAUUUUGUUCCCAUAUCCUCCUAUGUACCCUAACCCGCUAACCGGGCCAGCUUGCAGCUUCCUUUCCUUCCUUCGAUUCAACACUUGAACGCACUCUAGUGUAUCAACAGUGUCACAUCCCGACCCUUAUAUUUUUACCUUAUUUACUAGCGUGAUUAUAAUAAGAAUUUUACCGUCUCGAUCAUUGAGUAAAUAGUUUAAUUGGUCCCUAGAGGGGUUUCGGGGACGAUUAUGUGCGGAGGAUUAUUCGUAUGAUGAAAAUACGACGACGGUAAAAAUAGUAAAUUUUAGCUAGUAAACGGUAAUUUUUAUUCGGGUAUUAUUUUUCGGGGUGUUGAAUUUUGGAAUUAUGGGUUAAAAGGGGUGUUGGGUCGGCUGGGCCGAGCCCAACCCAUUUCUUCUUCUUUCUCUUCUCCCUCCCUCCCGAUUUUUCUUCUCUUCUCACCCGGUUUUCCCCUCUCUACACCUAGCAGAAUUCCGGCCGUCCUCCCGCCGCCGUCCGACCUCCGUUCGCCGCCGGACCGGUCCCGUUCGGUCGGUCUCCCUCCCAGCAACAUUUCUAGACCGGUGAGAGGAGCCCUAGCGCCGCCGUGAGAGAGCGGUGCCGCCCGAAAGCAAGGGCUGCCCCGAGCUUCCCUUCGCCGGAACUUCCUCCUCCGGCCACCAAUCCGGGCAAGCUUGGUAUGGUUUUGUAGCCCUCCAACCCAGCAACCUUGNNNNN
rnacentral:lncRNA from 1 species